UCGACCCGAGGUUAAGGUAAUGAUGUGCUUUUUAAACGAACUGAGGUUUAACGAUCCAAUCUCACGAAAACUACGGUCCUUUCAGAAUCAUCAGAAGUAAAUUGGUUUCAAGUGUUAACUGACAAGUUUACUGUGUGGCGUUUCACCCAUUCGCGUUCACGUUAACCGCGGGUCUCUCAAACAAUUUUGCCAUUCGAUAGACUGGAAACGAUUCCCUGUUUCGGACAUAAUUCAGCUGAAUGUAGCAGGUCCGAUCUCGCCAGAAAGAAAAUCCUGUAACCAUGCUGCGUGUGUUCGUUUUUUUGCUCCUGACUGUGAUGACAUCCUUCAUCAUGCCUCAUAAUGCCCUGGAAGCAAGCCCCCCCUGCCUACCACUUGAUACGCCAUGUAACGUCCCCCAAGGUUCAGGCGAUCCACCUUGUUGUGCGGGGUUACAUUGCGCGGUAUCUACAGGAAGUUUUACAACUUGUUCGCCCUGAGAAAAAAAAAAAAAUGGUUACAGGGACUGAUCUUCGGUACGUACUGAAAACCAAACUUUUUUUUUCGGUAAUCGAAUUUUCCGGUCAUAGGAACCGAAUUUUGGUUUCUUGAACCUGGAUUCGCUUUUUGUGACCGAAAACUUCUGUUACCUGAUAACCGAAAAACUGGCGUUCAAAAUGAAUCGAACUUUUGUUAUUCGAAUAGAAUACCCACUGCACAGCUAAACUUGUUUCGCUCUGUCAGAAACUGAGACACCAAACAAAUCGCUAAAAUAGCAGAUCAUUUAAUUGCAAAUUUACCAUUUUGACAUUUGCUGUACCCACAAAAUUAAAUUGGAAAAUAGUGAAUUAAUUUCGUCAAUUGUUUUUUUUUUUUAUUCUCAACGUAGUAAAUUAUAAUUAACAAUUAAUAAAAAAAUGUAAAAUUAUGGAUCUGUCAGUUUUCCUUGAAUUUCAAUGUACUCAGAUGGUAUCCCGAAAGCAAUCGCAAGUUUCUUGCGAUUUUUAAAUGAAAUCGAUGACCUCUUAAUCAUUAAUGCACAUCAAGGUGAUAUUAAUCGAUGAAUAUACUAUUCAAAAGGAGACUGACAAGGCCAAGAUAGAUGGGGAUCAGGAUUCAAAACAAGAGCUCGACAAAUAAAUAAUUAACGGUAAUAAAUUAUAGUGUAGCGCAAAUAAACUUGAAUAGCUCCAAAAAAGGAAAUAUCUGUUUACAUUACUCUUAAGUUUAAAUUCUCAAAAUGAUUGAAAAAUUUUAAUUUUUCUUCAUGAAUGCCUUCUUGAAGAAAAGAAAAGAUAAGUCAUCUUCUCUCGAACGAGGGGCUGUUAAGAACAGUCAAAAAUAAGUAGUGACAUAUCAGUAGCAGCAAAUCAGCUGAACGAAUUGAUGAAAAGUCAAAGGCGAAACUAGGAACUUUUCGUUGGGGCCUAAAGGGUACCUCAAAGGGGAGGGGGUCUCAGGGGGCACAAAAAACAUCCAACCAAGGGGGGUUUGCUUAUGUCUGGGGACUCUCCUGGCGCCGAAGGAGGGUUCGAGGAAUUUUCCUAGUUUUACAGGGGACCGGAAAAUUUCGAAAGAUUGAGUAAUCUCGUAAGCAAUGAGCUUUUCUCACCGAAAAAUUGAUCGAAUUCCCAUUUUCAAGAUGAAAAAUACGUCAUGUACUCUCUAUGCAAAAUUCUUCACAUUUCUUUGGAGGGGCUAUGAAAAUUUCUGAGAGAGUCAGCCCUCUCGACCCCCUUUCCGCCCAUGACCAAUCGACCUAAGUAGAAUUUGCUUACUAAAAUAAGAAAAAUUAUAAUUGGUUAUUUCAAAAAACAACUUACAUUGCUAACUGAAUAUCUUCCAAAUGCCAACACUGCAACUGACUUAUUUCUUUUGUAACCAGGUAAGCCAAUGCUCGGUUAUAGUUUCAAACAUUUAGUUUUAUAUAAUUUUAUAAAAAAUGUGUUGCUAAUUUAGCAAACGGAUGUUUAUUGGUAAAUGAUUAAAAACUAACCAACUGA